rnacentral:rRNA from 1 species
UACGUAGGGUGCAAGCGUUGUCCGGAAUUAUUGGGCGUAAAGAGCUCGUAGGCGGUCUGUCGCGUCUGCUGUGAAAACUCAGGGCUUAACCCUGAGCUUGCAGUGGGUACGGGCAGACUAGAGUGCGGUAGGGGAGACUGGAAUUCCUGGUGUAGCGGUGAAAUGCGCAGAUAUCAGGAGGAACACCGGUGGGCGAAGGCGGGUCUCUGGGCCGU